rnacentral:misc_RNA from 1 species
AGCAGCCGCGGUAAUUCCAGCUCCAAUAGCGUAUAUUAAAGUUGCUGCAGUUAAAAGCUCGUAGUUGAAUUUCGGGACUAAUAUGUCGGUCGUGCCUCGGUACGUACUGGUUUAUUGGUUUCUCCUUUCUGAAGAACCAUGAUGUCAUUUAUUUGGUGUCGUGGGGAAUCAGGACUGUUACUUUGAAAAAUUAGAGUGUUUAAAGCAGGCUCACGCUUGAAUACAUUAGCAUGGAAUAAUGAAAUAGGACGUUUGAUUCUAUUUUGUUGGUUUCUAGGAUCGACGUAAUGAUUAAUAGGGAUAGUUGGGGGCAUUAGUAUUCAAUUGUCAGAGGUGAAAUUCUUGGAUUUAUUGAAGACUAACUACUGCGAAAGCAUUUGCCAAGGAUGUUUUCAUUAAUCAAGAACGAAAGUUAGGGAUCGAAGACGAUCAGAUACCGUCGUAGUCUUAACCAUAAACUAUGCCGACUAGGGAUCGGAUGAUGUUAAUUUUUAAUGUACUCAUUCGGCGUCCUUACGGG